UCAGAGUGAACGCUGGCGGUAGGCCUAACACAUGCAAGUCGAACGGCAGCACAGGAGAGCUUGCUCUCUGGGUGGCGAGUGGCGGACGGGUGAGGAAUGCAUCGGAAUCUACUCUUUCGUGGGGGAUAACGUAGGGAAACUUACGCUAAUACCGCAUACGACCUACGGGUGAAAGCCGGGGACCUUCGGGCCUGGCGCGAAUGAAUGAGCCGAUGCCCGAUUAGCUAGUUGGCGGGGUAAGAGCCCACCAAGGCGACGAUCGGUAGCUGGUCUGAGAGGAUGAUCAGCCACACUGGAACUGAGACACGGUCCAGACUCCUACGGGAGGCAGCAGUGGGGAAUAUUGGACAAUGGGCGCAAGCCUGAUCCAGCCAUACCGCGUGGGUGAAGAAGGCCUUCGGGUUGUAAAGCCCUUUUGUUGGGAAAGAAAAGCAAUCGGUUAAUACCCGGUUGUUCUGACGGUACCCAAAGAAUAAGCACCGGCUAACUUCGUGCCAGCAGCCGCGGUAAUACGAAGGGUGCAAGCGUUACUCGGAAUUACUGGGCGUAAAGCGUGCGUAGGUGGUUGUUUAAGUCUGUCGUGAAAGCCCUGGGCUCAACCUGGGAAUUGCGAUGGAAACUGGGCGACUAGAGUGUGGCAGAGGGUAGUGGAAUUCCUGGUGUAGCAGUGAAAUGCGUAGAGAUCAGGAGGAACAUCCGUGGCGAAGGCGACUGCCUGGGCCAACACUGACACUGAGGCACGAAAGCGUGGGGAGCAAACAGGAUUANAUACCCUGGUAGUCCACGCCCUAAACGAUGCGAACUGGAUGUUGGGUGCA
rnacentral:rRNA from 1 species